UGGGGAAUUUUGGACAAUGGGCGAAAGCCUGAUCCAGCAAUGCCGCGUGUGUGAAGAAGGCCUUCGGGUUGUAAAGCACUUUUGUCCGGAAAGAAAUGGCUCUGGUUAAUACCUGGGGUCGAUGACGGUACCGGAAGAAUAAGGACCGGCUAACUACGUGCCAGCAGCCGCGGUAAUACGUAGGGUCCAAGCGUUAAUCGGAAUUACUGGGCGUAAAGCGUGCGCAGGCGGUUGUGCAAGACCGAUGUGAAAUCCCCGAGCUUAACUUGGGAAUUGCAUUGGUGGCUGCACGGCUAGAGUGUGUCAGAGGGGGGUAAAUUCCACGUGUAGCAGUGAAAUGCGUAGAGAUGUGGAGGAAUACCGAUGGCGAAGGCAGCCCCCUGGGAUAACACUGACGCUCAUGCACGAAAGCGUGGGGAGCAAACAGGAUUAGAUACCCUGGUAGUCCACGCCCUAAACGAUGUCAACUAGUUGUUGGGGAUUCAUUUCCUUAGUAACGUAGCUAACGCGUGAAGUUGACCGCCUGGGGAGUACGGUCGCAAGAUUAAAAGCUC
rnacentral:rRNA from 1 species